GUAAUGUUUUACUUAUGAUAGAGAUUGCAUCACAUACAUAAUCAGAAAUGAAGUAGAUCUCUAGUAUGAGAUAAUUCAUUUGAAUGAGAAUGGAAGACAAAAUUGGGAAUAAAUAUGAAAAAAUAACGAUAAAUCUGUUAAACUCGGGUCUGAUUUUUUCUAACGUCGGGAUACUUAAAUCGCCCAGUUCGGAGGGUGGUUUCCUACCAUUGCAGAUAAUCUGUUGAAACAUCAUUGUUGAUUUUUAUUUUUGAACAAGUAGACUACACAAGUAUUUUUUUUACACAUGCCUGUGGCAUGUAUGCACUAACUGAUUUUCUGCCAGCAAUGACAAGAAUAGAUCAUGCGUAAAUCUGGGAUUUUUUUUUUUGAGGGGACCAAAAUUGCCCAAUCACAUGACAAUUAUCAAAGGUUCAGCCAAAAACGAUUAUAUUCAAAAGACAUUCAUUUCCAUUGAUUUAAAAAAAAACAUCACUUAAUUUUAAGUCUAAUGACAUUACGAUUCGAUUAGAAUUUAUAGUGGCCUGUUGCAUUCGAUGCUAGAACUUUAUAGAUUUGCAGUAAAUGAGAAAACUUGAAGAAAGGAUAUUUUUUAAAAAUGUAUAAAACCUAGUUUUACAGCUGCAUAUUUCACUUGUAUGCAAGUUGCAUUAAAUUUCAUUAAAUUGAACUAAACUGAAAGACACAAUAGUUAAAAUUCAGUGACAUAAAAGGAAUAGAGCAAUUAACAUAGUGUAACAAUU
rnacentral:lncRNA from 1 species